GGAUACAGUGCCCAUGAUGGUGGAUGCAGUGAUCCUGCAGUGGUUGCAGGGCCACCUGCUGUUUACCUGAAUGUGGAUGCAGUGAUCAUGCAGUGGAUGGAGUGUCCCUCAUGGUGGAUGCAUUAUGAUGUGUUGGAGGAUUCAGUGAACAUGAAGGAGGAUGCAGUGAUGCUGCAGUCAUUGCAGUGAACUUGCAGUGCCACUUCAGCUGGAUGCAGUGUCUCUGCAGUGGUUGCAUUGCCCUGUCCUGUGUCGCUGAAUGUGGAUGCCGUGCCCACGCAGUGGAUGCAGAGUACCAAAAGUUGGUUGCCGUAUGUUGUGACAGAGGAUGCAGAGCCAUGGAGUUGGAUGCAGUUAGCCGGCAGUGAUUUCAGUACUCCUUCAGUGCCACUUCAGCUGGAUGCAGUGUCCCUGCAGUAGUUGCAAUGCAUCUGCAUUGUCCUGGAAUCUGAAUGCAGUGCACAUGCAGUGGAUGCAGUGUCCCACAAGAUGGAUGCAGUAUGUUGUGAUGAACGAUGCAUGGCGCAUGAAGGUGGAUGAAGUGAUCCUGCAGUGGUUACAGUGCCCUCUACAGUUCCCUGAAGUAGGUGCCGUGCCCAUGCAGUAGUUGCAGUGACCCGUAAGGUGGAUGACGUAUGUUGAGAUGGAAGAUGCAGUGCCCACGAAGGAGGAUGCUGUGAGCCUGCAGUGAUUACAGUAUGCCUUCAUUGCCACUUCAAAUGAAGUCAGUGUCCCUGCAGUGGAUGCAAAGCACCCUACAUUGUAUGGCAUUGUGGAUGCAGUGCCCAGACAUCAGAUGCAGUGUCCCACAAAGUGGAUGCAGUAUGUUAUGAAGGAUGAUGCAGUUCUCAUGAAGGUGGAUGCAGUGUCCCAGCAGUGCUUGCAAUGCCCCAGAAUUGUCGGGGAAUGUGGAUGCAGUAGUCACGCAGUGGAUGGAGUGAUUCUGCAGUGAUUGCAGUGCACCUGCAUUUCCUCAUCAGCUGGAAGCAGUGUUGCUGCAGUGGUUGCAGUGCUGCCUUCUGUGUCCCUGAAGGUGAAUGCAGUGCCCAUGCAGUGGAGGCAGUGUACCUAAAGGUUUAUGAAGUAUGUUGUGACGGAGGAUGCCGUGCCCCUGAAGGGGGAUGCAGUGUCCCUCCAGUGGUUGCAGUGUCCCCAGCAUUGUCCUGAAAUUUGAAUGCAGUGCCUAUGCAGUGGAUCCAGUGAAUCUUCAGUGAUUGCAGUGUGCCUGCAGUGCCACUUCAGCGGGAUGCAGUGUAGCUGCAGUGGUUCAGAUCCCGUGCCGUGUCCCUGAAUGUGGAUGCUGUGCCCAUGCAGUGUCUGCAGUGUGACUCAAGGUGGAUGCAGUAUGUUGUGAAGCAGGAUUCAGUGCCCAUGAAGCAUGAUGCAGUGAUCCUGCAGUGAUUGCAGUGCACCUGCAGUACCUUUUCAGGUGGAUGCAGUGUCCCUGCAGUGGUUGCAAUUCCCCUUGCAUUGUGCUGGAAUGUGGAUGCAGUGCUCAUGCCGCGGAUGCAGUGUCACACAAUGUGGAAGCAUUUUGGUGUGUUGUAGGAUGCAGUGCCAAUGAAGGUGAAUGCAGUGAUCCUGCUAUGAUGGCAGUGCGCCUGCUGUGCUACUUCAGCUUGAUGUAGUGUUGCUGCAGUGGUUGCAGUGCCCCAUGCAUUGUCCGGGAACGUUGAUGCAGUGCCCAGGCAGUGGAUGCAGUGUCCCACAAGGUGGAUGCAGUAUGUUAUGACGGAUGAAGCAGUUAUCAUGAAGGUGGAUGCAGGGUCCCUGCAGUGCUUGCAGUGCCCCCCGCAUUGUCCAGGAAUGUGGAUGCCGUAGUCAUGAAAUGGAUGCAGUGUCACACAAGUUGGAUGCAGUAUGUUGUGAUGGAGGAUGCAGGGCCCAUGUAGGUGGAUGCAG
rnacentral:lncRNA from 1 species